rnacentral:rRNA from 1 species
AUUGAACGCUGGCGGCAUGCCUUACACAUGCAAGUCGAACGGCAGCACGGGGCAACCUGGUGGCGAGUGGCGAACGGGUGAGUAAUGCAUCGGAACGUACCCUUCAGUGGGGGAUAACGUAGCGAAAGUUACGCUAAUACCGCAUAUUCUGUGAGCAGGAAAGCAGGGGAUCGCAAGACCUUGCGCUGAUUGAGCGGCCGGUGUCAGAUUAGCUAGUUGGUGAGGUAAAGGCUCACCAAGGCGACGAUCUGUAGCGGGUCGGAGAGGAUGAUCCGCCACACUGGAACUGAGACACGGUCCAGACUCCUACGGGAGGCAGCAGUGGGGAAUUUUGGACAAUGGGGGCAACCCUGAUCCAGCCAUGCCGCGUGAGUGAAGAAGGCCUUCGGGUUGUAAAGCUCUUUCGGCCGGGAAGAAAUCGCACGGGCUAAUACCCUGUGUGGAUGACGGUACCGGAAUAAGAAGCACCGGCUAACUACGUGCCAGCCGCCGCCGUAAAAC